rnacentral:rRNA from 1 species
CAGUUGAAGUAGGCGGAAUGUAGCAUGUAGCGGUGAAAUGCUUAGAUAUGCUACAGAACACCGAUAGCGAAGGCAGCUUACUAAACUGAAACUGACGCUCAUGCACGAAAGCGUGGGGAGCAAACAGGAUUAGAUACCCUGGUAGUCCACGCCCUAAACGAUGAUCACUCGUUGUUGGCAAUUAUAUCGUCAGCGACUAAGCGAAAGCAUUAAGUGAUCCACCUGGGGAGUACGAUCGCAAGGUUGAAACUCAAAGGAAUUGACGGGGGCCCGCACAAGCGGAGGAGCAUGUGGUUUAAUUCGAUGAUACGCGAGGAACCUUACCUGGGUUAGAACGCAGAACGACGUUUCGGGAAACCGGAAUUCUCUUCGGAGCGAUCUGCGAGGUGCUGCAUGGUUGUCGUCAGCUCGUGCCGUGAGGUGUCGGGUUAAGUCCCAUAACGAGCGCAACCCCUAUUCUUAGUUGCCAUCAGGUAAUGCUGGGGACUCUAAGAAAACUGCCUACGCAAGUAGUGAGGAAGGCGGGGAUGACGUCAAAUCAGCACGGCCCUUAUGUCCAGGGCUACACACGUGCUACAAUGGCCGGUACAGAGGGCAGCCACCUGGUGACAGGGAGCAAAUCUCCAAAGCCGGUCUCAGUUCGGAUCGAAGUCUGCAACUCGACUUCGUGAAGUUGGAUUCGCUAGUAAUCGUAUAUCAGCAACGAUACGGUGAAUACGUUCCCGGGCCUUGUACACACCGCCCGUCAAGCCAUGGAAGCUGGGGGUGCCUGAAGUCCGUGACCGAAAGGAGCGGCCUAGGGUAAAAUCAGUGACUAGGGCUAAGUCGUAACAAGGUAGCCGUA